UACGGGGGGGGCAAGCGUUGUUCGGAAUUACUGGGCGUAAAGGGCUCGUAGGCGGCCAACUAAGUCAGACGUGAAAUCCCUCGGCUUAACCGGGGAACUGCAUCUGAUACUGGAUGGCUUGAGAUUGGGAGAGGGAUGCGGAAUUCCAGGUGUAGCGGUGAAAUGCGUAGAUAUCUGGAGGAACACCGGUGGCGAAGGCGGCAUCCUGGACCAAUUCUGACACUGAGGAGCGAAAGCCAGGGGAGCAAACGGG
rnacentral:rRNA from 1 species